GACUAACGCUGGCGGCGUGCCUAACACAUGCAAGUCGAACGAGUUGUUUAUAUAUAGCAAUAUGUGUAGACAGCGAGUGGCGAACGGGUGAGUAACACGUAGAUAAUCUGCCUUUCAGACGGGGACAACUCAGGGAAACUUGUGCUAAUACCCGAUGAGACUACGGAAGGGGACUUCUGUAGCCAAAGGUGGGGGUAACCUCACGCUGAAAGAUGAGUCUGCGUCCUAUCAGCUAGUUGGUGGGGUAAAAGCCUACCAAGGCGAAGACGGGUAGCCGGCCUGAGAGGGUGAACGGCCACACUGGGACUGAGACACGGCCCAGACUCCUACGGGAGGCAGCAGUGAGGAAUUUUCCGCAAUGGGCGCAAGCCUGACGGAGCGACGCCGCGUGAGGGAUGACGGCCUUCGGGUUGUAAACCUCUUUUAUAAGGGAAAAAGGUUGGCAUGCUAAUACCAUGUCAAU
rnacentral:rRNA from 1 species